GCAGCCCUCUGUUAGUUUUGCAUACUUGCACUACAAGAAGAAUGCAGUUGUGCAAAUCUAUGCAAAACUGAUGGUGGCCUGC
ensembl:miRNA Mir19a microRNA mir-19a